GGAAGGGCCCUAGCUCAGUGGGUGGAGCACCUUUGCUUUGCAUGCAUAAGGUCCUAGGUUCAAAUCCCAGCACCUCCA